CUGUAAGCCUGUGAAGGUGUACUGUGAGGUAUGCUGGAGGUAUCAGAAGUGCGAAUGCUGACAUAAGUAACGAUAAAGCGGGUGAAAAGCCCGCUCGCCGGAAGACCAAGGGUUCCUGUCCAACGUUAAUCGGGGCAGGGUGAGUCGACCCCUAAGGCGAGGCCGAAAGGCGUAGUCGAUGGGAAACAGGUUAAUAUUCCUGUACUUGGUGUUACUGCGAAGGGGGGACGGAGAAGGCUAUGUUGGCCGGGCGACGGUUGUCCCGGUUUAAGCGUGUAGGCUGGUUUUCCAGGCAAAUCCGGAAAAUCAAGGCUGAGGCGUGAUGACGAGGCACUACGGUGCUGAAGCAACAAAUGCCCUGCUUCCAGGAAAAGCCUCUAAGCAUCAGGUAACAUCAAAUCGUACCCCAAACCGACACAGGUGGUCAGGUAGAGAAUACCAAGGCGCUUGAGAGAACUCGGGUGAAGGAACUAGGCAAAAUGGUGCCGUAACUUCGGGAGAAGGCACGCUGAUAUGUAGGUGAAGUCCCUCGCGGAUGGAGCUGAAAUCAGUCGAAGAUACCAGCUGGCUGCAACUGUUUAUUAAAAACACAGCACUGUGCAAACACGAAAGUGGACGUAUACGGUGUGACGCCUGCCCGGUGCCGGAAGGUUAAUUGAUGGGGUUAGCGCAAGCGAAGCUCUUGAUCGAAGCCCCGGUAAACGGCGGCCGUAACUAUAACGGUCCUAAGGUAGCGAAAUUCCUUGUCGGGUAAGUUCCGACCUGCACGAAUGGCGUAAUGAUGGCCAGGCUGUCUCCACCCGAGACUCAGUGAAAUUGAACUCGCUGUGAAGAUGCAGUGUACCCGCGGCAAGACGGAAAGACCCCGUGAACCUUUACUAUAGCUUGACACUGAACAUUGAGCCUUGAUGUGUAGGAUAGGUGGGAGGCUUUGAAGUGUGGACGCCAGUCUGCAUGGAGCCGACCUUGAAAUACCACCCUUUAAUGUUUGAUGUUCUAACGUUGACCCGUAAUCCGGGUUGCGGACAGUGUCUGGUGGGUAGUUUGACUGGGGCGGUCUCCUCCUAAAGAGUAACGGAGGAGCACGAAGGUUGGCUAAUCCUGGUCGGACAUCAGGAGGUUAGUGCAAUGGCAUAAGCCAGCUUGACUGCGAGCGUGACGGCGCGAGCAGGUGCGAAAGCAGGUCAUAGUGAUCCGGUGGUUCUGAAUGGAAGGGCCAUCGCUCAACGGAUAAAAGGUACUCCGGGGAUAACAGGCUGAUACCGCCCAAGAGUUCAUAUCGACGGCGGUGUUUGGCACCUCGAUGUCGGCUCAUCACAUCCUGGGGCUGAAGUAGGUCCCAAGGGUAUGGCUGUUCGCCAUUUAAAGUGGUACGCGAGCUGGGUUUAGAACGUCGUGAGACAGUUCGGUCCCUAUCUGCCGUGGGCGCUGGAGAACUGAGGGGGGCUGCUCCUAGUACGAGAGGACCGGAGUGGACGCAUCACUGGUGUUCGGGUUGUCAUGCCAAUGGCACUGCCCGGUAGCUAAAUGCGGAAGAGAUAAGUGCUGAAAGCAUCUAAGCACGAAACUUGCCCCGAGAUGAGUUCUCCCUGACUCCUUGAGAGUCCUGAAGGAACGUUGAAGACGACGACGUUGAU
rnacentral:rRNA from 1 species